GGUGCUGUGGCUUGAGUUGGUUAAAGCGCCUGUCUAGUAAACAGGAGAUCCUGGGUUCAAAUCCCAGCAGUGCCU
rfam:Larimichthys crocea isolate SSNF unplaced genomic scaffold scaffold251, whole genome shotgun sequence.